rnacentral:rRNA from 1 species
AUGGCCUGGAACUGUCGGGGAUUGGGGUUGGACCCGACAGUGGGCGAGUUGAGAGAGCUGAUACGGUCCUACAACCCAGCGGUGGUUUUUUUGAGCGAGGCAAAAAAGAGGGCGAAAGCAAUGGAGAAAGUUAGAUGUAGUCUGGGCUUUUCUAGUGGGAUGGUUGUGGACUGUGUGGGUAGGAGUGGAGGAUUAACGUUAUGGUGGAAGGAUCAUGUUCAGGUGACAGUUAGGCCAUGGUGCCAGUACUAUAUUGAUGCUGAGAUCUCUUGUGAGGGUUAA